GAAUAUUGGACAAUGGGCGCAAGCCUGAUCCAGCCAUGCCGCGUGAGUGAUGACGGCCUUAGGGUUGUAAAGCUCUUUCGCUCGGGACGAUAAUGACGGUACCGAGAUAAGAAGCCCCGGCUAACUUCGUGCCAGCAGCCGCGGUAAUACGAAGGGGGCUAGCGUUGUUCGGAAUUACUGGGCGUAAAGCGCGUGUAGGCGGGUCUUUAAGUCAGGGGUGAAAUGCCAAGGCUCAACCUUGGAACUGCCUUUGAUACUGGAGAUCUUGAGUCCGGGAGAGGUGAGUGGAAUUGCGAGUGUAGAGGUGAAAUUCGUAGAUAUUCGCAAGAACACCAGUGGCGAAGGCGGCUCACUGGCCCGGAACUGACGCUGAGACGCGAAAGCGUGGGGAGCAAACAGGAUUAGAUACCCUGGUAGUCCACGCUGUAAACGAUGGAUGCUAGCCGUUGGGGAGCUUGCUCUUCAGUGGCGCAGCUAACGCUUUAAGCAUCCCGCCUGGGGAGUACGGUCGCAAGAUUAAAACUCAAAGGAAUUGACGG
rnacentral:rRNA from 2 species